GGUUAAGCGACUAAGCGUACACGGUGGAUGCCCUGGCAGUCAGAGGCGAUGAAGGACGUGCUAAUCUGCGAAAAGCGUCGGUAAGGUGAUAUGAACCGUUAUAGCCGGCGAUGUCCGAAUGGGGAAACCCAGUGCAAUUCGUUGCACUAUCGUUUGAUGAAUACAUAGUCAAACGAGGCGAACCGGGGGAACUGAAACAUCUAAGUACCCCGAGGAAAAGAAAUCAACCGAGAUUCCCCCAGUAGCGGCGAGCGAACGGGGAGCAGCCCGGAGUCUGAAUCAGCUUGUGUGUUAGUGGAAGCGUCUGGAAAGUCGCAGGGUACAGGGUGAUACUCCCGUACACUAAAACGCACAGGUUGUGAACUCGAAGAGUAGGGCGGGACACGUGGUAUCCUGUCUGAAUAUGGGGGGACCAUCCUCCAAGGCUAAAUACUCCUGACUGACCGAUAGUGAACCAGUACCGUGAGGGAAAGGCGAAAAGAACCCCGGCGAGGGGAGUGAAAAAGAACCUGAAACCGUGUACGUACAAGCAGUAGGAGCCUCUUUAUGGGGUGACUGCGUACCUUUUGUAUAAUGGGUCAGCGACUUAUAUUCUGUAGCAAGGUUAACCGUAUAGGGGAGCCGCAGGGAAACCGAGUCUUAACUGGGCGUUAAGUUGCAGGGUAUAGACCCGAAACCCGGUGAUCUAGCCAUGGGCAGGUUGAAGGUUGGGUAACACUAACUGGAGGACCGAACCGACUAAUGUUGAAAAAUUAGCGGAUGACUUGUGGCUGGGGGUGAAAGGCCAAUCAAACCGGGAGAUAGCUGGUUCUCCCCGAAAGCUAUUUAGGUAGCGCCUCGUGAACUCAUCUUCGGGGGUAGAGCACUGUUUCGGCUAGGGGGUCAUCCCGACUUACCAACCCGAUGCAAACUACGAAUACCGAAGAAUGUUAUCACGGGAGACACACGGCGGGUGCUAACGUCCGUCGUGAAGAGGGAAACAACCCAGACCGCCAGCUAAGGUCCCAAAGUCAUGGUUAAGUGGGAAACGAUGUGGGAAGGCCCAGACAGCCAGGAUGUUGGCUUAGAAGCAGCCAUCAUUUAAAGAAAGCGUAAUAGCUCACUGGUCGAGUCGGCCUGCGCGGAAGAUGUAACGGGGCUAAACCAUGCACCGAAGCUGCGGCAGCGACACUAUGUGUUGUUGGGUAGGGGAGCGUUCUGUAAGCCGUUGAAGGUGGCCUGUGAGGGUUGCUGGAGGUAUCAGAAGUGCGAAUGCUGACAUAAGUAACGAUAAUGCGGGUGAAAAACCCGCACGCCGGAAGACCAAGGGUUCCUGUCCAACGUUAAUCGGGGCAGGGUGAGUCGACCCCUAAGGCGAGGCCGAAAGGCGUAGUCGAUGGGAAACAGGUUAAUAUUCCUGUACUCGGUGUUACUGCGAAGGGGGGACGGAGAAGGCUAUGUUGGCCGGGCGACGGUUGUCCCGGUUUAAGCAUGUAGGCGGAUGUUCCAGGUAAAUCCGGAACGUUACUAACGCUGAGGUGUGAUGACGAGGCACUACGGUGCUGAAGUGACAAAUGCCCUGCUUCCAGGAAAAGCCUCUAAGCAUCAGGUAACAUCAAAUCGUACCCCAAACCGACACAGGUGGUCAGGUAGAGAAUACCAAGGCGCUUGAGAGAACUCGGGUGAAGGAACUAGGCAAAAUGGUGCCGUAACUUCGGGAGAAGGCACGCUGAUAGGUAGGUGAAGUGGUUUACCCAUGGAGCUGAAAUCAGUCGAAGAUACCAGCUGGCUGCAACUGUUUAUUAAAAACACAGCACUGUGCAAACACGAAAGUGGACGUAUACGGUGUGACGCCUGCCCGGUGCCGGAAGGUUAAUUGAUGGGGUUAUCCGUAAGGAGAAGCUCUUGAUCGAAGCCCCGGUAAACGGCGGCCGUAACUAUAACGGUCCUAAGGUAGCGAAAUUCCUUGUCGGGUAAGUUCCGACCUGCACGAAUGGCGUAAUGAUGGCCAGGCUGUCUCCACCCGAGACUCAGUGAAAUUGAACUCGCUGUGAAGAUGCAGUGUACCCGCGGCAAGACGGAAAGACCCCGUGAACCUUUACUAUAGCUUGACACUGAACACUGGUCCUUGAUGUGUAGGAUAGGUGGGAGGCUUUGAAGCGUGGACGCCAGUCUGCGUGGAGCCAUCCUUGAAAUACCACCCUUUAAUGGCUGGUGUUCUAACGUGGGCCCGUUAUCCGGGUUGCGGACAGUGUCUGGUGGGUAGUUUGACUGGGGCGGUCUCCUCCUAAAGAGUAACGGAGGAGCACGAAGGUCAGCUAAUCCUGGUCGGACAUCAGGAGGUUAGUGCAAUGGCAUAAGCUGGCUUGACUGCGAGCGUGACGGCGCGAGCAGGUGCGAAAGCAGGUCAUAGUGAUCCGGUGGUUCUGAAUGGAAGGGCCAUCGCUCAACGGAUAAAAGGUACUCCGGGGAUAACAGGCUGAUACCGCCCAAGAGUUCAUAUCGACGGCGGUGUUUGGCACCUCGAUGUCGGCUCAUCACAUCCUGGGGCUGAAGUAGGUCCCAAGGGUAUGGCUGUUCGCCAUUUAAAGUGGUACGCGAGCUGGGUUUAGAACGUCGUGAGACAGUUCGGUCCCUAUCUGCCGUGGGCGCUGGAGAAUUGAGGGGGGCUGCUCCUAGUACGAGAGGACCGGAGUGGACGCAUCACUGGUGUUCGGGUUGUCAUGCCAAUGGCAUUGCCCGGUAGCUAAAUGCGGAAGAGAUAAGUGCUGAAAGCAUCUAAGCACGAAACUUGCCCCGAGAUGAGUUCUCCCUGACUCCUUGAGAGUCCUGAAGGAACGUUGAAGACGACGACGUUGAUAGGCCGGGUGUGUAAGCGCAGCGAUGCGUUGAGCUAACCGGUACUAAUGAACCGUGAGGCUUAACCUU
rnacentral:rRNA from 1 species